rnacentral:tRNA from 1 species
GACUUCAUGGCCCAAUGGAUAAGGUGUUGGUUUACGGAACUAUUAAUUUUGGGUUCGAUCCCCAGUGAAGUCG